ACACGUAGGGGCCUGACGUUGUUCGGAAUCAUUGGGCGUAAAGGGCGCGCAGGCGGCCGUCCAAGUCCGGUGUUAAAUGGUCGGGCUCAACCCGAUCAUGCGCUGGAAACUGGGCGGCUUGAGUCCCGUAGGGGAUGCCGGAAUUCCAGGUGUAGGGGUGAAAUCUGUAGAUACCUGGAAGAACACCGAUGGCGAAGGCAGGCAUCUGGCCGGAGACUGACGCUGAGGCGCGAAGGCGCGGGGAGCGAACAGGUUUAGAUACCCUGGUAGUCCGCGCAGUAAACGAUGCGCACCAGGUGUCGGGCGGCAGCGCCCGGUACCGGAGCUAACGCGAUGAGUGCGCCGCCUGGGGAGUAUGCCCGCAAGGGUGAAACUCAAAUGAAUUGGCGGGG
rnacentral:rRNA from 1 species